GAUGAACGCUAGCGGCAGGCUUAACACAUGCAAGUCGAGGGGUAGAGGCUUUCGGGCCUUGAGACCGGCGCACGGGUGCGUAACGCGUAUGCAAUCUGCCUUUCACAGAGGGAUAGCCCAGAGAAAUUUGGAUUAAUACCUCAUAGCAUAACACAACCGCAUGGUUGAGUUAUUAAAGUCACAGCGGUGAAAGAUGAGCAUGCGUCCCAUUAGUUAGUUGGUAAGGUAACGGCUUACCAAGACUUCGAUGGGUAGGGGUACGGAGAGGGGACUCCCCCAGAGUGGAACUGAGACACAGACCAGAAUCGUACGGGAGGCACGGGUAAGGAAUAAUGGUCACUGGGCGCAAGCCUGACCCAGCCAAGCCGCGUGCAGGAUGACGGUACUAUGGAUUGUAAACUGCUUUUGUACGAGAAGAAACACUCCUUCGUGAAGGGGCUUGACGGUAUCGUAAGAAUAAGGAUCGGCUAACUCCGUGCCAGCCGCCGCCGUAA
rnacentral:rRNA from 1 species